UCGGACCACUGUGGAAUUGCUUUCAAAGACACGCUAAUGGAUGAUAUUGCAAGAACAUCAAAAUCAUUUCGGCAGAACCAUCAGUACAAAGUAGUAGGAGAGCUUGGGAAAGGGGCAUUUGGCCAAGUUUUGCUUUGUAUAUCUGUGGAAAGGAAUGAGCUUUUUGCUAUGAAAAGGAUCAAAAGACAAUAUUUUCGAGAGGAAGAGGUUACCAUUCCUGCAUUACAACUUCAAGGGUAUGCAAAGGCGUUGAAGAUAUAUGGAAUAGUUGUUGAAGAUGAAUUCAUCAAUAUCAUUAUGGAAUAUGCUGAAGGUAGUGCAUUGA